ensembl:snRNA U6 U6 spliceosomal RNA
GCUGCAAACUCACUCCGGCAGCAUAUAAACUAAAAUUGGAAUGAUACAGAGAAGAAUAGCAUGGCUCCUGUACAAGGAUGGCACACAAAUUCAUGAAGAGUUCCAUAUUUUU